rnacentral:rRNA from 1 species
AAUGAACGUUGGCGGCGUGGAUUAGGCAUGCAAGUCGAGCGCGAUAUGUAGCAAUACAUGGAGAGCGGCGACAGGGAGAGUAAUACGUAGGUAUCUACCCUCGGGUCUGGGAUAGCAGCGGGAAACUGCUGGUAAUACCAGAUAACGUCUCCGGACCAAAGGUGUGAUUCCACCUGGGUAGGAGCCUACGGCCUAUUAGCUAGUUGGUAGGGUAACGGCCUACCAAGGCAAAGAUGGGUAUGGGGUGUGAGAGCAUGCCCCCACUCACUGGGACUGAGACACUGCCCAGACACCUACGGGUGGCUGCAGUCGAGAAUCUUCGGCAAUGGGCGAAAGCCUGACCGAGCGACGCCGCGUGCGGGAUGGAGGCCUUCGGGUUGUAAACCGCUGUCGUAGUGGAGGAAAUGUAGGAGAGUUAUCUCUUCUACUUGACUAAUACUAGGAGGAAGGACCGGCUAAUCUCGUGCCAGCAGCCGCCGUAACAC